GGAUCUCUGCCCCGGGUGCGUCGAAGCCCCGGACCAAGGCGCCCGCCGGAGGACCAACCAAAACUCUUUUUGUAUACCCCCUCGCGGGUUUUUUAUAAUCUGAGCCUUCUCGGCGCCUCUCGUAGGCGUUUCGAAAAUGAAUCAAAACUUUCAACAACGGAUCUCUUGGUUCUGGCAUCGAUGAAGAACGCAGCGAAAUGCGAUAAGUAAUGUGAAUUGCAGAAUUCAGUGAAUCAUCGAAUCUUUGAACGCACAUUGCGCCCGCCAGUAUUCUGGCGGGCAUGCCUGUCCGAGCGUCAUUUCAACCCUCGAACCCCUCCGGGGGGUCGGCGUUGGGGAUCGGCCCUGCCUCUUGGCGGUGGCCGUCUCCGAAAUACAGUGGCGGUCUCGCCGCAGCCUCUCCUGCGCAGUAGUUUGCACACUCGCAUCGGGAGCGCGGCGCGUCCACAGCCGUUAAACACCCAACUUCUGAAAUGUUGACCUCGGAUCAGGUAGGAAUACCCGCUGAACUUAAGCAUAUCAAUA
rnacentral:rRNA from 1 species